UUCACACACACGCACACACACACACGCACACACACACAGCCAUCUCUCGGCUGGACGGCGGUCGGCGGACAGAAGAUGGUGGCGGCUGCGGCCACAGCGUUGGCCGCCGCGCCCGGAUGAGGGCACACGGCGUUUCCUGCGGGAGUGGACGGCGCUGCGCUGCGCGGAGAGCGGCCACAUCACGCAAACAGGACAAUCCCAUCCCUCCGAGGACGCUGUUGGGAUUUUGGAAAUGCAGGAGCCGAACCUUCACGUCAGGCUGGGAUUAAAGGACAGGUAUUUGGAGACCUUCUGCACAAGCUCCUCUCUGCGCACGGAGACUCCGGAGGGGGAAGUCAGGAAAGGACGGGGCUGACUCCGCGGGAACUGUUGCGAUCAGGCCCUGCAGCCAAGAGCAUGUGGGCACUUGGUGACAGCUUUUUCACUCGUUUGGGACUAAAACAGCAGACUCGGAUCUUGCAGAUUGUUUUGAGAGACGCUGCGCAGGAUUUGUUUUGGAUGAAGUUUUUGCCCAGCUCUCCGUGUUCCCAGUGGAACCCUAAAACUAAAUGGAUCAGCGGUAAUGGACGUGCAUCACCAAUGAACGCGUAAUUCACGCUGGCAGCCCUCCAACAUUCAGUGACACAGCUCCACUUGGAUUUACAGCUUCUCCACAAACGGAUCGCAGCCAUUUCUCGAGUUUUCCGGAUUCUGGUGCACAGUUCUCCUAAAUAUUUUCCCAAUUUGUAAGACUGCAGGCUUGCAGAGUGGACUUGGCCGGGAGCAGAGCAGGAGUGAACCUUGCAGUCUCAAGUGCGUCAAAACAGUCAGGAACACGGAGGAAUGCAGGGACUGACGUCAAGAGGGGCAAUAAUGAUCUACUCCAAAUCUUUAGAAGGUCUGCUGGUGUUUCUGCUGCCACUACACUGCUAACUGAGAGGAAUUUCCCCUGCAAGGCCUUUUUGUGCUCUUUAUUUUCUUUUUUUCACCUUAAAGAUUUUCCAAUCAUUACCCUGCCUCCUACCCAGCAGCCCAACACUAUGCCUUACUGUUUCAUCUGUUGUUUUUGAAUUAGC
rnacentral:lncRNA from 1 species